ACCUUAGAGACCAACUAAGUUUGUUAUUGGUAUGAGCUUUCGUGUGCAUGCACAUUUCUUCAGAUAUGCACACAAAAGCUCAUACCAAUAACAAACUUAGUUGGUCUCUAAGGU